rnacentral:lncRNA from 1 species
UCGGCGAUCCGGGGCCGGGGGCGGCUCCGAGGUCGUCGGGGCCGGGGUCCCACCUCCUCUUGGAGGAAGCGCCGCCUUCCCACCCGCCCGGGGCCCUCGCCAAGUGGCUGCUAACAAAGCCCAGGGCCCGGCUGCGGGAUGGUUGACUGACAAAGUCAUGCCUGCCUAGCCAGCUUCCUCGUGCAGCACGGUGAAGGCUGGGGCGCCGGGUUUUUACUCCCACGUCCUGCCAACUCGAGCUGACAAGGCGGGCAAUCCACCAGCGGGAGCGUUGGCAGGCCCGGGGUCAGAUCCUGAUUCAGCCAGUUAAUUGCUCAUGGAUGGCAGAGCUGUGUGUUGUCCGUGGUCAGACACACAGGAAGUCUGAAUUGUUAUCCUGCUCUGCCACUGAAAUGUGUAAAAUAUAGGGGGAGUGUUCCAAGUCAUUUUUCUAAAAGCAUCAUCCAACUAUGAGCUGAACACUGCCCCGAGAAUGCAACAGAACUUCAGCUCUGUCCCAAGGUCGUCAGCCACAGCUCCAAGUUUCUUAGCAUCAGCUUUUUCUGAACAAAAUAGUGCAUCCUGCUGGAAUCACUACUGUAAACUGAGUAUAAAGGAAAAUAAACCCUCUUUUUC